AAACAAACCACCGUAGAGUGUGGAUUGGAACGAGCGUAGUUGCGCGAUCGCGGUAGACGCGCGUGUCGUCGCACCCGCUCCGUGGCGGGGGUGGAUCAGCCGUCGUCGUGUGUACGUUUCGUGCGUACUUCCGGACCGGCGCGACGACUCACCCGUGGAAGCAAGGAAUACCCUAUACACUGCGUGUGAAUGUGAAUGAAGGAGAAUAAAGUGGUAGACAUGCAGACGAAGAUAAUGGAACAAAAACAAUCCUUUCGAUUGUUGUGAAUCUAAAGGAAGAACCUUGGUGAACCUAUGAUAUGAAGAUAAGGAAUAUAAGAAGGAUAAUGUGUUGCUAGAAUGUAUUUUUUUUUUCACUACACUACUAUUACACGGUUAUUCCCGCUUGCUCUGGGAGCAAUUAUUGCAAUGAUCAUUUUGAGAACCAGCGGCCAGCGGAUAUACAUCGUUAAUUUGAAAAAUUUUCGGUGUUCUCCCAGACAAUGAAGCAGAAGUAAUUUUAAUCGAUUAUCUUCGCCCACCGGAGGAAAGCACGGAGUAGCGCAGAGCAAUCGAAAACGAACGGACCAAGAGCCCGCCAGUAGCAAAAAUGGGAACGUAUUCUUGGGCCGAAAUUUUCUCCGUUUUCGGCGGAUCUGCACUACAAUUGCGACAUGGAUGUGUGCCGAUAACGCCAUACAUUGCCGGCUGGAGUCUUAUGGAGGAAGCGGACACAACUUCAUCCGAGGGUCAUUCGGUUGAUCUGAGGAUGAAUCAACUCAUCACUUCAACACGUGAUAUUUGUUUUGUUAAAAAUCAAUUUCUAUGAGAAAAUCAACAAACUGUUAUAUUUUUAUUAAACACAAAGUACUAAAUUAAGCGCAUAACUUCAAAAUUUGAGAUAUAUUCUAUUACAAACGUUUGGAAUCGUAAAUUCGGCAGCAGUUAAUAAAACGUUCGAGUUUAGAUUUUUCGACUUCGAAACUGAAAAAGACACUAUCCAUUGCAACCUCAUCAACGCCAUCUGAUGGAAGUCGAAAAGCGUAGGCUUGAUAGUUUGCUAUUAAUUCGCCAGAACUGUCGGUUUCACAAGAAACAAGAGGAAAGUAGAUUAAAAAUCACUUUUCAAACAGCCUAUUUAUUAUAUUAAAAAGCACAACUGAAAGUCUAGUUGAAGCGCACAAAACGAAAAGAAAUAGGUGCAAAAAGAGCGCUAAAGUAGAGAACAAAUACGUAUGUAGGUAGAUGCUUUUCUUCACCCUAAAUCAAUUCUUAUUAACGAUAAUUUAUAGAGUAAUGACGUUUUCUUUUAACCGUGAAAUCAGAUAAUGGUAACAUUGUUAUGCUGUUUACCUGAGAGCGAGCAGAACAGCAGCAAACAGACGUUAACAUGGAAUACCGUUCGGUGGCGACCGCACGUUAAACAACAAUGUUCAGAAAAUGAUUGCUUUCGUUGCAUAAAGUUUACCUAAAUGGCGAGGAACUUUUACAACAUGAUAGAUACAUUUGAUGCGAGGAUUUACAAACAAGAGAAAACAUAUCUAUCAUUGCUGAGAAGUGAGAACAGAACUGAAGGGAGCUAAAUGAUGCUGUUAAUGAAAGAAGAAGUAAUAAUAAAUUCGAUAUGAAUGCCUCUGUAAUUAUUAGAUUGUAGCCAGCAGACUAGUGAAAGGAAGAAAGUCUUAUUACAAAUUAGAGCAAAAUGAAACAUACAACAGAUCAUACACAUGUUUGUAGGGUAGCGCACAAAGCAACCAUUCAUACCCCGCAUAGAGUUUAAGAGAUUUGAGCAUGAGAAAAUAUUAAAGUAACAGUUUUUAUCAGCCAGCAAGAAAA